UACAGAGGUCUCAAGCGUUGUUCGGAUUCAUUGGGCGUAAAGGGCGCGUAGGCUGCGGGGUAAGUCAGGUGUGAAAUCUCAGAGCUCAACUCUGAAAUUGCACUUGAUACUGCUCUGCUAGAGGACUGGAGAGGAGAUUGGAAUUCACGGUGUAGCAGUGAAAUGCGUAGAUAUCGUGAGGAAGACCGGUGGCGAAGGCGGAUCUCUGGACAGUUCCUGACGCUGAGGCGCGAAGGCCAGGGGAGCAAACGGG
rnacentral:rRNA from 1 species